rnacentral:rRNA from 1 species
AACGAACGCUGGCGGCAGGCCUAACACAUGCAAGUCGAGCGAGGACUUCGGUCCUAGCGGCGGACGGGUGUGUAACGCGUGGGAACGUUCCCUUUGCUUCGGAAUAGCCCUGGGAAACUGGGAGUAAUACCGGAUGAUCCCUUUUGGGGAAAGAUUUAUCGGCGAAGGAUCGGCCCGCGUUGGAUUAGGUCGUUGGUGGGGUAAUGGCCUACCAAGCCGACGAUCCAUAGCUGGUUUGAGAGGAUGAUCAGCGACACUGGGACUGAGACACGGCCCAGAAUCCUACGGGAGGGAGCAGUGGGGAAUCUUAGAAAAUGGGGGAAACCCUGAUCGAGCCAGGCCGCGUGAGCGAUGAAGGCCGGAGGGUUGUAAAGCUCUUUCAGCUGGGAAGAUAAUGACGGUACCAGAAGAAGAAGCCCCGGCUAACUCCGUG